UGACCAACCUGCCCCUUGCUCUGGGAUAACCCCGGGAAACCGGAGCUAAUACCGGAUACGAGACCGUGCGGCAUCACGCGGUCUGGAAAGUUUUUCGGCAAGGGAUGGGGUCGCGGCCUAUCAGCUUGUUGGUGGGUAAUGGCCCACCAAGGCGACGACGGGUAGCCGGCCUGAGAGGGCGACCGGCCACACUGGGACUGAGACACGGCCCAGACUCCGUACGGGAGGCA
rnacentral:rRNA from 1 species